rnacentral:rRNA from 1 species
CGGAGGGUGCAAGCGUUAUCCGGAUUCACUGGGUUUAAAGGGUGCGUAGGCGGGCAGGUAAGUCAGUGGUGAAAUCUCCAAGCUUAACUUGGAAACUGCCGUUGAUACUAUCUGUCUUGAAUACUGUGGAGGUGAGCGGAAUAUGUCAUGUAGCGGUGAAAUGCUUAGAUAUGACAUAGAACACCAAUUGCGAAGGCAGCUCACUACACAGCCAUUGACGCUGAGGCACGAAAGCGUGGGGAUCAAACAGGAUUAGAUACCCUGGUAGUCCACGCCCUAAACUAUGGAUACUCGACAUACGCGAUACACAGUGUGUGUCUGAGCGAAAGCAUUAAGUAUCCCACCUGGGAAGUACGACCGCAAGGUUG